rnacentral:ncRNA from 1 species
CUGGUUGAUCCUGCCAGUAGUCAUAUGCUUGUCUCAAAGAUUAAGCCGUGCAUGUGUAAGUAUGAACUAAUUCAGACUGUGAAACUGCGAAUAGCUCAUUAAAUUAGUUAUAGUUUGUUUGAUGGUAUCUGCUACUCGGAUAACCGUAGUAAUCCUAGAGCUAAUAUGUGCAACAAAACCCCGACUUCUGGAAGGGAUGCAUUUAUUAGAUAAAAGGUCGACGCGGGCUCUGCCCGUUACUCUGAUGAUUCAUGAUAACUCGACGAAUCGCACGGCCUUAAUGCCGGCGACGCAUCAUUCAAAUUUCUGCCCUAUCAACUUUCGAUGGUAGGAUAAAGGCCUACCAUGGUGGUGACGGGUGACGGAGAAUUAGGGUUCGAUUUCGGAGAGGGAGCUUGAGAAACGGCUACCACAUCCAAGGAAGGUAGCAGGCGCACAAAUUACCCAAUCCUGACACAGGGAGGUAGUGACAAUAAAUAACAAUACCGGGCUCUUUGAGUCUGGUAAUUGGAAUGAGUACAAUCUAAAUCCCUUAACGAGGAUCCAUUGGAGGGUAAGUCUGGUGCCAGCAGCUGCGGUAAUUCCAGCUUCCAAUAGCAUAUAUUUAAGUUGUUGCAGUCAAAAGCUCGUAGUUGGACCUUGGGUUGGGUCGACCGGUCCGCCUAGGGGUGUGCACCUGUCGUCUCGUCCCUUCUGCCGGCGAUGCGCUCCUAGCCUUAACUGGCCGGGUCGUGCCUCCAGCGCUGUUACUUUGAAGAAAUUAGAGUGCUCAAAGCAAGCUUACGCUCUGUAUACAUUAGCAUUAAGGUCUAACCCGCCUCUAUUAAGCUUUGUUAAUUCUUAAUCCG